rnacentral:rRNA from 1 species
GGGGAAACCCUGAUGCAGCAACGCCGCGUGAAGGAUGAAGGUCUUCGGAUUGUAAACUUCUUUGAUGAGGGACGAAAAAAAUGACGGUACCUCAAAAACAAGCCACGGCUAACUACGUGCCAGCAGCCGCGGUAAUACGUAGGUGGCAAGCGUUGUCCGGAAUUAUUGGGCGUAAAGGGCGCGUAGGCGGUUCCUUAAGUCAGAUGUGAAAUCCCGGGGCUUAACUUCGGGCGUGCAUUUGAAACUGGGGAACUAGAGUGCAGGAGAGGUAAGUGGAAUUCCUAGUGUAGCGGUGAAAUGCGUAGAUAUUAGGAGGAACACCAGUGGCGAAGGCGACUUACUGGACUGUAACUGACGCUGAGGCGCGAAAGCGUGGGGAGCAAACAGGAUUAGAUACCCUGGUAGUCCACGCUGUAAACGAUGGAUACUAGGUGUGGGAGGUAUCGACCCCUUCCGUGCCGCAGUAAACGCAAUAAGUAUCCCGCCUGGGGAGU